AGGGGUUUCCACCCCUUGGGGUUUUACCAUUUUUCUUAGCCUCUGGGGGAAAACAAGAUUCAAACCACUACACUGCAGUCUCCAGAUAUUGUUGUCAACAGUGAACAGAUGAAGCCUCCCUGCAACAUAAUGACAUAUCACAACGGCAUCAUGGUCUACAUUUGGGUUUAAAAAAAUCACCAACUGAUAAAUGUUGCUUUUGAUAGCUCAGAUCAUAGGCUUGAUCCAUGUCUUAGUCCUGCAGAGAUGUAGCUAUUUUACAGUUACAUCUUCCUAAGCCAAACAAACUGGAAGAAAGGUGUUUUAAAAAGCAUAUUCUGUUAUUGUGGAAUUCUUUCACUAACCAAAAUAAAUUUCUCUUCAGCACCUCAGGACCUCAAUGACUUCUUGAAACUGAGUAGUCCUAGAAUAAAGUGGAGAAUAAAUACAAGAAUGGAAGAACAAACUAAUCAAAACUCUGCUCUGGAAUUAACUUGAAAAAAUGUAUGAUGAUGUGACUAGAUUUAUGCCUCCUUAGAAGUCUUAGAAGUCAAGAAGACUUGAAUAGAAAUGACUACUUGGAAAUAUGUAAAUGAAAGGACAGACAAUCAGCAGGAAGACUUAUUUCUCACAGUAACAGGUUCUAAAGCACUGAUUGUAUAAACUCAUUGCAAUUAAUAUUCAAUUCAGUAAGGAAGCUGCAUUAUGGUCGUACUCUCCAUAGCUUCUAUCUUUUGUCAGCUGUGGGGCUGCCACAGGCUAAUUGAGAUUACAUUAGGGCUGAAGUAACUCAUCUGUAAUGAAUAUUUAUUUCUGAAAAUAUGGUUCCUAACUCAUAAUCUCUUUUAAGAGACUGUUGGCUGGUAGAGAAGGUCAUGACUGCUGUAUUUAAUAGCUCUUAAUCAUCUUUGACAGUAAGAAUUAUGUAUGUAAUAUGACAUUUCAUAUGUAUAUGAAGCCUAUCAGAUAUACUUUUUGAAAAAAACGUGAACGAAUUAAUUUUGUGAAAAUAUUGGACUAGUAGAACAGAGGAGUAAUCUUGGAACACAUCUACCACCUAGUAGACAAAAUCAAUACAAACCCCAGACCCUUGCAAAUUCAAAAUUAACUUUGAAAAAGGUAAAGAAUUUGUACAGUAAUGAGCCACGGGAAAAUAGAAAGAAUUCUUGUCUUGUAAGAGAAAUUGAGAACUUACUGAGGGUUCAGGACUCACAGUUAACUGCAGAAUAAAGAAUGCUACCGAGUCCAGAAUAACAAGUAGAAUUUUGUCAAGGUAUGUUAAUAUUUCUUGUUAAGGAAUAUUGUUGCAAAGCUUUGUCUCAGAAGGCUGCUUUGGUAUUAGAAAUCUUGCCUUUGAGUUACACAGGGAAAAAAAAUCAUCAGAAUAAAGUAUUUUGUUGUUCAGAAACUGUGGAAAGUGUCAACUGAUAAUGAAAAUCUUUUAUAAUGCCUAGGAUUCAGAAUGAUAACUGAACAGGAUGUAUACUUGUUCAGAUGCAUAUACUGAACAAUUCCAAUAAAUGAAAUAGAUCCACUGAUAUAGAAUAAGUAUAAGCUUCAUUCUUGGUUAAAUCUAAACCUAGGAAGAUAAAGCAAGAAUACAUGAGCAUGCAUGAAACUGAAUAAUAGGAAGUGAAACACAGCAAUCCUGAAUCUGAAGAAAAGAAUACUUUAUUUAAGGUGUGUUUUUUUUACAAUCCCACAUUUGACCAACAAAGUCUUUGAAUGAAGAACUUUAUGGAGAUGACUUAUAAUUCUGUUCAAUGGAUGAUUUAAAGCACCUAGAUCUCAAGAAGCAGAAGGAAUGUGUUUAACUGUGGGGGCAGAGUGAGGGAAAUCCUCCUAUCACCAUGGUAGCAAGUGGUCUUUGUCAGUGCUUGUGCUUAUGUUUUGCAUAAGAGAAUAUGGUCAUUUAGACUGCAGAACUGUAAUGUCAUUUUGAAAAUGCACUGGGACCAGACAUAAUGCACUGUUCUAUGAAUUCUGAAAGUGCAAUUAAAAGUAGACCAGUGAUGACAACAAGGUCUUAACUUGCUUACACUGAGGACAAUUUUUCAGUCAAGGGUGAAAUAGCAUCGUCAUAAUUAACCCGUCUUAGAAACUACAACAUGCCAACUGCAUCUAGUAUCCCCAAGAAAUUUUAGAAUAGUAAGUUUCCCAUAAAAAUAAUCUUUUUUUUAAGAUCACAAAAAUGCACAGCACUUGAGGGAACAACGUAGACAUAGUAGAAUGAUGAGAUUAAACUUUCAGAAAUGUGAUGGAGAAGUACUGCUAAGAUUUAUCAGGUUGUAGUACCUGAUGUAUAUAGAAGUUCAACCCAAAAUUCACCACCUGCAUUUCAGAAAAUAUUGUAUCAUGAGGCCAAAGCAUCAACUAUAAAAUAAAAUUAAUAAAUCUUGAAAGGUAAAGACCAUUUGUAUUGUGCAACAUUGAAGUCUAGUUAUGGUCAAUCUAAUCUAUUAAUGCAGUUAUUUACAUGAAUACAGAAUCAACGACAUUACUAGAACCAGAGUGCAGUAAAGGCACAGGUUAUAAUGACACUGAAUGAAUUUUAUGUGAAGGUAAAAUACCAGAAUAAAGUCUUCUCUUGCAGACCACAGCUGUCACCACAAAUUUUAAAAACAAAAUCUGAUUGUGCGUGUGAUGGAUGGGUGCAUAAAUUUCACAGUUUUAUUAGAACAAAAACCAAAGAAGUCUUUCCUCUCCUAGUCAUUGCCUCAUUCUGCCAUACAAGAGAAGCAGUAAUAAAAAUAGAUCCUCCAGUUUCAGUGCUUAGAUAUCUUCCUCUUAAUAAUUCUUGAAGACUAGGUGAUGACAUCUGACUAAAAUAGUUUCUUUCAGGUGGAAUUAUAUCAACCUUCCAUAAACAGAUUUUUAUUUUUUUUCUGUGUCUUUUCUGAGUGUAUCUUACCUGACUUAAAACAAUUGCCUUUUUUCAUAGCCAUGUGUUUUUCAAAGCCAAGAGUUACUCCAUAAGCAGUUAACCAAACAAGUCUAAUUCCUAUGCAACUGCUUACAUGCAGUGAGCUCCUAGCCUAUAUCAAAAAGUCCUGUUUUUAAAAAUCAUCUCUUUUACUUCAUAUUGAUUACUGAUCACUCUGUUAUUAAUAUUAUAUGUUAUAUUCCUAGGGCAUGGGACGAAGUGUGUGGAAUCCAAGUCUUUUUAGUUUUAAGGAGAGCACAGUUGUGCCAUUAAAAUAUUUCAUUAGGAAAUUAGCAUUUUUCUACCCCCAUUGAUAAAAAUAAUAUAAAAAAUAUAUCCCCCCAAAUGUUCUGAUUUUUUUCCCAUUAUAUUAUCAGCACAAACUAUGCUUAUUUUUCUUUAUAUUUCUCGUAGUUCUUAUACUAAUGCCCAGAAGAAAAUGAUUUGUCAUGCGACAACACUAAUAAAUCCUAUGUAUUUUAUCUGUAUAAAGAAACAGAUAUUUUAUCAAAGAAUAAAACUAGAGUGUGUCAAAAUCUACCUUUGAGAGGUAUAAUGUCAUUUGAUCUAAUUUCUAAUUUUGAUCUAUAGUUUU